rnacentral:misc_RNA from 1 species
GAUGAAGAACGUAGCGAAAUGCGAUAAGUAAUGUGAAUUGCAGAAUUCAGUGAAUCAUCGAAUCUUUGAACGCACAUUGCGCCCGCCAGUAUUCUGGCGGGCAUGCCUGUCCGAGCGUCAUUUCAACCCUCAGGCCCCCAGUGCCUGGCGUUGGGGAUCGGCGCGGCGCCCUCCGGGGCGCUGCCGGCCCCGAAAUUCAGUGGCGGUCUCGCUGUAGCCCUCCUCCGCGUAGUAGCACAACCUCGCGGCCUGGAGCUCGGCGGUGGCCAUGCCGUAAAACACCCCACUUCUGAAAGUUGACCUCGGAUCAGGUAGGAAUACCCGCUGAACUUAAGCAUAUCAAUAAGCGGAGGA